ACAUCUUAUCCUUCGUUUCUCCCGGCGGCGAAUCCAGCAUUCAACGCUAUCUAAUCCCCAACUCUCUCCCCCCACUCCACCCCCAUGGCUUCCAUUCCAGCUCCUCGCCUCCCACCGACCUCUGCCCACGCCGCCGAUCCAAACCCUCACAAAUUCCCCUCCAAGCCCUCGAGAUUCCUCCGCACUCCUCCUGCCGUCGCGCUUUCCCCAUUCAAGAAAGCCUCCACCUCAGCCUCUAGGGCUUUCGAUUUGGGCCCCUGCCGCUGCCUGAACCCGCAGUCCGACUUCCCCUCGCCGGAUGGUGAUUCUAGACGGCGGAGAUGGGAUUCUCUGCUCCACGACUUCGUGAGGAGCGCCGUGAAGAGGUGGGACGAUUAUGUGAGCUCGUACUGGAAUUCUUCGCCCAAGAAUGGCCCUCGGACCAAUGUGCCGGCGGGGAAGGGGGAAGAGAAAGAGGUGGAGGGGAAGGAUGAGGGGAAGAAGGGGGAGGAAGAAGGGGAUUGGGAUUGGGAGAGGUGGAAGCGGCACUUUGCCGAGAUUGAAGAGCAGCAGAGUCUGGUCUCUGUGCUAAAGUCACAAUUAUCCGAUGCUAUUAUCCGAGAGAAUUAUAAAGAAGCUGCAAAGCUGAAGCUGGCAAUUGCAGCUGCCACAGAAAAAGAUACUGUGGGAGCAGCAAUAUCAGAUAUGAAUAGGGCCAUAGAGGAAGAGCGUUAUGCUGAUGCAGCUUACAUUCGAGACCAUGCUGGUGCAGGAUUGUUGGGAUGGUGGGCUGGUUUUUCGGAAGAUGGUGCUGAUCCUUAUGGUCGAAUUAUCCGUAUAAGUGCAGAACAUGGAAGAUAUGUGGCAAGAAGUUAUAGUUCCAGGCAACUUGCUACAGCUAGGCCAGGUUGUCCUCUAUUUGAAAUUUUUUUCACUGUGAUCAAUGGAGAGUACAAGCAGCAGGCAGUGUAUUUGAAACAGAAUGGUGACGAUUCUGGAGGCUUACAUAAGCGUGGGAUAAAAAAUGAAAUUAGCAGCCUAAACCCAUCAGACAGUUCAGCUGAAGGACAAAAUGGUAUAUAUAGUGAGGACAUAGAAUCACUUGAGAAGGGGGAUGAUGACUCUGAUGUGACUGAUGAGCUAACCAGUAUACAGAACAUUUUGCAAGAUAUUAUUCCUGGUGUCAAGGUCAAGGUCUUAAAGGUAGUUGCUCCAGGGAGGGUAGACAGAGAUUUGAUUGCUAAAGUUAUUGAAGAGAUAAUAGAGGAAGAGGAUGAUGGACAUGAUGAAGAGUUAGACAGUUUAGAGCCCGAAGACAUUAAAUCUGACAGUGACAUGGAAGAGACAGAAAUGAAUGCUGGAGAUGCACCUAACAAUUUUUCUGAAGAGAAAAACACCAUGCCAGUAAAAAUUGUAAUUGAGGGUCUCAUGCAAAAGCUGCAUGCUGAUGUGCCUCCAGAAGAUCUUUUCCGCAUGCCAGCUAGGCUAGAGAAAAAGAAUCACAUAUCAUUUUCCUUUGUUCCAGAGCAUGAUGAGAGGGAAUUUGUUACUAAUAAGAAAGGACAGGCUUCAGGGAAAAAAGUUGCUCCACAUUCAUCACAGCUGAGUGCUAAUCUUGUUAUGUCUGAUCUUGCCAAAGUCAUCCUUAGCAAAGAGAAGGUAACCAUGAAGGUGCUUAGAGACAUUGGAGAAUUAAUCAGUUUUGCAGCUAAUCGCCAGAAUCAUCAGCCUUUGUUAGGACCAACACUCUUCAACCGUAUUGAGAUACCAGCAACUUCAGAUCCCCUUACUGGCCUUUAUGUUGGAGCUCAUGGAAUGUACACCUCUGAAAUCCUCCAUUUGAAACGUAAGUUUGGUCAAUGGCAAGAGGAUCCUGCAACUCAGAAGCAAGCGAAUUUGGAAUUUUAUGAAUAUGUUGAAGCCAUCAAAUUAACUGGGGAUCUUUCUGUACCAGCUGGUCAGGUUACCUUUCGUGCUAAAAUUGGCAAACAAUAUCAGCUGCCUCAUAAGGGGAUAAUUCCUGAAGAAUUUGGAGUGGUUGCUAGAUACAAGGGACAAGGGAGGCUGGCUGAUCCUGGGUUCAGAAAUCCUCGAUGGGUUGAUGGCGAGCUUGUCAUUCUUGAUGGAAAGUAUAUUAGAGGAGGCCCUGUUAUUGGAUUUGUUUAUUGGACAUCAGGAUAUAAUAUCUUGUUAUUCUUUAAUCGGUUAAAGCUUCCAGAUUAGAUUGCUACCGCAUGCAGAAGGUGAUCAGGAUACCUCAUUUCAGAUAUGUAGGCUACAUUUGAUGAAGCCUGUAUAGAAAUUGAAAGCGUGGAUUGUCUAAGCUGCACGGCACAUUGCUCACUGGACGGUACGUGCAGAAUCAAGCACCACCAGAAUCAGAAAAAAGAACUACGAAAUCUGUCACCUUGCUUCCCAAAAUCAAGUCUUCCUUUCUUUCCUAUACCACUUCCAUGUACAUUGUCAACCGAAGAACUAAAUGAUGGUUGUAUAUGCUCUUAACCUUUGCAAAUUUUGCUUCUAUAUAUGAUGACUUUUACUUGUUACAUGUACUAAACCUACAAGCUAUACGUGAAGGUGCAAUUGUCUCCAUAUGCAAUUAUUAUUUUCCUAAAUAGAAUUGUAACCA